rnacentral:rRNA from 1 species
UCCCCACACCGGUGAGAAUGCCCUUAACAUCAAUUUAGAUCAAGAGGAGCAGGCAUUAAGCACACUAUUUAGUAGCUCAAGAUGCCUUGCUUAACCACACCCCCAAGGGAAACAGCAGUGAUAGAAAUUUAGCAAUGAACGCAAGUUUGACUAAGUUAUGCUACUCUAGGGUUGGUAAAUUUCGUGCCAGCCACCGCGGUCAUACGAUUAACCCAAACUAAUAAAUUCCCGGCGUAAAGCGUGAUUUAAAAUCAAAUAACAACUAAGCUGUAAAAAGUAAUAGUUACAAACAAAAAUAAACAACGAAAGUGAUUUUAUAACCUUCGAACUCACGAUAGCUAAGACCCAAACUGGGAUUAGAUACCCCACUAUGCUUAGCCCUAAACUUAAAUAAUUCCAUAACAAAAUUACUCGCCAGAGAACUACAAGCCAGAGCUUAAAACUCAAAGGACUUGGCGGUGCUUUAUACCCACCUAGAGGAGCCUGUUCUAUAAUCGAUAAACCCCGAUAAACCUUACCACUCUUUGCCAACUCAGCCUAUAUACCGCCAUCUUCAGCGAACCCUAAAAAGGAACAAAAGUAAGCUCAAUUAUCCCCAUAAAAACGUUAGGUCAAGGUGUAGCCUAUAGAGUGGAAAGUAAUGGGCUACAUUUUCUACUUCAGAACAUACGAAAGCCCUUAUGAAACUCUAAGAGCCAAAGGAGGAUUU